GUCCCCUGGGGCCCUUGGUCUGAUGGGUGUAUGGGAGUGUCUGGGCUGCAAUACAUGAGACAGGACAGUGGUGGAUGUGACAGGUGGCUCGUUCUGUCCUCUUCUUGACAGAUCCCUCCAAACCUUCCAUGUUCUGUGACACUGCAGCCGGGGCCCGAAGACACGGGGAAGGCUUGCGGUGUGGACUAUGAAGUCAAAGCCUUCUGCGCGGAGAAUUUGGAGGAGAAGAUCCACAAGCGGUGAGUAGGAUGCCAGGGUGUGGGCCGCCUGCUGGGUGAGGGAGGGAGACAGGAUGGGCAAAGUCCAAG
rnacentral:lncRNA from 1 species